rnacentral:rRNA from 1 species
UACAGAGGGUGCAAGCGUUAAUCGGAAUUACUGGGCGUGAAGCGCGCGUAGGCGGUUUGUUAAGUUGGAUGUGAAAUCCCCGGGCUCAACCUGGGAACUGCAUUCAAAACUGACUGACUAGAGUGUGGUAGAGGGUGGUGGAAUUUCCUGUGUAGCGGCGAAAUGCGUAGAUAUAGGAAGGAAUAUCUAAUGAG